GCAGGCAGCAGUCACCCGGCCCCACCCCCACCAGGAAACUUGGGGCCUAGCCCUGCCCCACCUCCCCUCGGCCCAUCACACGCAGGUGUCCUCAGCCAAUCCCUCCCUGUUGCCAGGCCCCUUUCUCGGUCCCCAUUGGUGCCAGCUUGGAAGCAAUCGUCCCCGGUAGCCUGCAAAGGAUGGAUCUGGGCGUGGAACGAACUGCCAAAGGAAUCCAGGUUGUGACAGCUUUGUUGGAUGGCUCACUCCAAGCUGGGAAGCUGCUGUGCUGGGAAUAGGAGCCAGCUCUGAGCCGUUUCCUCCCAUCCUGCUUGUCCUGUGUCCUGAAGAAGCAGGUCACCUCUGUUUGUUGUAAGAACACACUGCUGAUGGACUAUUAAAAACAAAACAACAAUUUG